rnacentral:rRNA from 1 species
AUGGACUUUCUUGGUAUCAAUUACUACACAUUUUUGUACGUGAAGGAUGACCCGCAUCAUGCUCCCAGCAACAAAAGGGAUUUCAUGGCUGAUAUGGCUGCUAAAUCAAUAUUUGCAAGCAAUUCUACCACUGGGUUCUCUGUGCCAGGUUAUGGUCUACGGCAAGUGCUUGAACAUUUGAAGCAAUCUUAUGGUCAUCCUCCAAUCUAUAUCCAUGAGAAUGGGUAUCGAAUGCAUCAAGAUGUGGUAUUUGAUGAUGGCCCUAGGGUGGAAUUCUUGAGUGAACAUCUUAAAAACCUGCUUAUUGCUCUCAGGAAUGGUUCGAAUACUAGGGGCUACUUUGCCUGGUCGCUGAUGGAUUUAUAUGAACUACUUAGUGUCGGGGACACGUAUGGAUUGUAUUACGUGGAUUUUGCCGAUGAGGAUCUCAAGAGGUAUCCAAGGAGGUCUGCGAUUUGGUACAAGGAUUUUCUCGAUGGGGGCCGCAUGGAGACAGAGAGAUUCUCCGAUCACUAG